GCAGAUUUGAGGCCAGAGCCAUCCAUCAUAACAACAAGAUGCAAGAUUUUCUUUUGCUGGUAUGUUCUGAUUCGGUAUCACUUGUUGGAUAAGAAGCAUCCCAUUACACUGGAAAAACUACCGAUGUCAAUCGAGUUACGGAUCUCUCCUUUCCCCCUUCUUUAAAUGUCCUCGUGUACGCCCAUGUGAAUGUGGGUGUAUUCAUGAGGACACCCUUUACCCCAUCCCGUCUGGUGCAAUUUAACUUUUCAGCGGAUGGAUGGAGCAACUGUAGAUGUCUGGCUGUAUUUCCCAGGCAUAAAGAUUGGAGUCCUGAACCAGCCAUCAUAACAACAAGAUAUGCAAGUUUUGCUUUUUGCUGGUAUUGCCACUUGCCAUCAGCAACAAUCUCAGCAUCAUCGCUUGG